rnacentral:misc_RNA from 1 species
AAGUCGUAACAAGGUUUCCGUAGGUGAACCUGCGGAAGGAUCAUUAGCAAGAUUGCCUUCACGCUCCCUGCCUCCUCUUUGGGGGGGUAGAGAGAUGUGCUAGUGCAAGUGCCAUCCUUGUGUUAUGUAUACCCUGUGCUUUUGUGCGUGUUUUUGCAUGAGUAUCCCUUAUGUUCACACGCGCACAAGAGUGUUUUUAAACCAACCCAUUUUACCUUUAUUUCUUAUUCUUUUACGCCUGAAAAGGCUAAAACUACCGAAAACUGCCAGCAAUGGAUCACUCGGUUCUC